GUGGGGUUAGCUCAGUGGUAGAGCGUUCGAUUGUAGUUCGAAUGGUCACCUGUUCAAUCUAGGUACUCCUCU
rnacentral:tRNA from 1 species